rnacentral:rRNA from 1 species
UACGUAGGGAGCAAGCGUUGUCCGGAAUCAUUGGGCGUAAAGCGCGCGUAGGUGGCCCUGUAAGUCCGUUGUGAAAGUCAAAGGCUCAACCUUUGAAAGCCGAUGGAUACUGCAGGGCUAGAGUACGGAAGAGGCGAGUGGAAUUCCUGGUGUAGCGGUGGAAUGCGCAGAUAUCAGGAGGAACACCAAUAGCGAAGGCAGCUCGCUGGGACGUUACUGACACUGAGACGCGAAAGCGUGGGGAGCGAACAGG